rnacentral:tRNA from 1 species
GGAGGGAUGGCCGAGCGGUUUAAGGCACCGGUCUUGAAAACCGGCGUUGUCGAAAGACAACCGUGGGUUCGAAUCCCACUCCCUCCGCCA